rnacentral:rRNA from 1 species
AUAUUGGACAAUGGGCGAAAGCCUGAUCCAGCUAUGCCGCGUGUGUGAAGUAGGUCUUCGGAUCGUAAAGCACUUUAAGUUGGGAGGAAGGGGUUGAAGCUAAUACCUUCAAUCUUUGACGUUACCAACAGAAUAAGAACCGGCUAACUCUGGACCGGCAGCCGCGGUAAUACAGAGGGUGCAAGCGUUAAUCGGAAUUACUGGGCGUAAAGCGCGCGUAGGUGGGUCGUUAAGUUGGAAGUGAAAGCCCCGGGCUUAACCUGGGAACUGCAUUCCAAACUGGGUAUCUAGAGUGCAGGAGAGGAAAGCGGAAUUCCUAGUGUAGCGGUGAAAUGCGUAGAUAUAGGAAGGAACACCAGUGGCGAAGGCGACUACCUGGACUGAUACUGACACGGAGGUGCGAAAGCGUGGGGAGCAAACAGG